rnacentral:rRNA from 1 species
UACUAAAGUUGUUGCGGUUAAAAAGCUCGUAGUUGAAACUGUGUCCUGCGGCGUCGGUCCGCCUUUGCGCGCGACAGACNNNUCUGCGGGGCUUCUCGCCGGUGUGUUUCUGACGGUACUCGUAUCGUCGGAUCCUCGCGGCUGUUUACUUUGAACAAAUUAGAGUGGCGGGCUGAUUUUCGCCUGAAUAUNGUGCGCAUGGAAUAAUGGAAUAGGACCUCGGUUCAAUUUUGUUGGCUUUCUGACACCAGAGGUAAUGAUUAAUAGGGACAACUGGGGGCAUUCGUAUUGCGACGUUAGAGGUGAAAUUCUUGGAUCGUCGCAAGACGNACUAAAGCGAAAGCAUUUGCCAAAGGUGUUUUCAUUAAUCAAGAACGAAAGUUAGAGGUUCGAAGGCGAUUAGAUACCGCUGUAGUUCUAACCAUAAAUGAUGCCAGCCAGCGAUCCGCCGAAGGUAUUUAUAUUGAUUCGGUGGGCAGCUCCC